rnacentral:lncRNA from 1 species
CGUGGAAAGCAAUUGCUGAACCAAGCGAGCUAGUUGAGGCCAGAAGGGAUCGGUACUAAUUUAUCGCUAUAGGGAUUUUCAUGGCUUCCACCAGCGUGCAAGGAAUAACCUCAUCUUCAUCUUCAUCUUCUCCUCCUCCACUAUAUAUGCAUGAUGUGUUCCUUACUUUUAGAGGCAAAGACACCCGGAACAAGUUUACCAGUCAUCUAUAUUCUAAUCUGAAACAGAGAGGCAUCGAUGUGUACAUGGAUGAUAGGGAGCUCGAGAGAGGAAAGACCAUCGAACCUGCUCUCUGGAAGGCCAUCGAAGAAUCAAGGUUUUCAGUCAUUAUAUUUUCAAGAGAUUACGCGUCUUCACCAUGGUGCUUGGAUGAACUUGUCAAGAUUGUUCAGUGCAUGCAUAAAAGAGAUGGGGCAAACUGUUCUGCCAGUUUUUUAUGAUGUGGAUCCCUCAGAGACAUAUGAGAAAGCCUUCGUUGAGCAUGAACAAAAGGAAAAUUUGGAGAAGGUUCAGAUCUGGAAAGAUUGUCUCUCUACGGUGACCAAUCUAUCAGGCUGGGACGUACGGAAUAGGUAAAUCAUCUAUUUACUUAUUCUUAUUCUCAAAUCCUCCCUGUAUUGUUUCAAUGAUGAUCAUAGUCUUUUUUUUUUUGCAUAUUUUUUCAAUUUAAACGUGUGAUUAAAUAUCAAAAUAAACAAUACAACAAGAGUUUCAAAACUAAUUCUUCAGUAAAUAAUUAUUAGUAUAUAUUUUUGAUUCCUUAAAUAGGCUUUUAACAACCCAUUUGUCUAUGAUCAACCUAAUUUUUCUUUAAUUUUGACUUUUAAAAUAAAAGAGAGCACGUCUCAAAUCUCAAUUGUCACAAUUUUUAAAAUAAAAAUUGAAAACAAAUUAAAAAAAUUCUUGAACUUUUUGCUAAUUUCUAUUAUUUAAUAGAUCGAAUAAUAAAAUUUCAAUUAUCUAAAUUGAAUUUAUUGAGGCAUCUUUAGAAAAAGUCAAUAUUACAAAGACAUUUUUAGUAUCAUUAGAAUAUUUUUUCCUGAUUGUAUUAUAGAAUAAUAGAGGAUAACUUUAUCGAUUGUAUUAACAAAAAUUUAAAAUCCUUGAGAAAUGUCUUGAUUUACUAAUGGAUUGUAACAAUGAAUUUACUAAUUUUUCAUUCUAAAAAUAAUAAACUACUUAUUGGGGAUAAUAGGGUCUUCUUAUAAGGGCCAAUAGUCAUUAUAGAAUUGAUAGGGGUAGUUAGGUAUUGUUUUUUUACGGUAUAAUUACUUAGUUGCUUUUAAAAGCAAAAAUAAAUAAAUUAGCUAUAUGGGCUUUUUAAACAUUUAUCACUUUUCAGGGUGCAAUAAAUAACUUUAUUUCCUUUAAAAUUAAAAAUACUUACCUUGUCUUCAAUGGCUUAUUCAUGCUUUUUUUUUUUUUUUUUUUUGUGAUAAAAAAAAGAAGAAGAAAAGUGGUUGGCUUGUUUGUAGAACACACAAGCGAGUAAGUUGUUCUGCCUUAUGUAAGCAGUAAGGAUGAGCAAAAAAACUGGAAAACAAAAUAACCGAAAAAACCGAACCGUGAAAAAAAACCGAUUAAAAUUUUGAAAAAACAACUGGUUUGGUUCGAUUUUGGAUUUUUAAGCCUAAAACCAAAAAAACCGAAUCGAAGCGAAACUAAACCGAAAAAAACCAAAAAAAAAAAAAAACUGAGCCAAACCGGAAAAAUUUUAGUUUGGUUACUUUUUUAUAUAAAAACCAAACUGAACCGAAAAUAAUCACCCCUAGCACGAGCAAUGGCUUAUGACACCCAAAAAAAGCCUUCAUUGAUGUUUACUGAUUCACCAUGACAUGACCUACCUCUCUUAGUGGCUUGUAUGGAGUAAUUCUUUCUUGUUUGGCACCAGAUGACUUUCUUUUCUUUUCUUUUGUCUUUAUCCUUGAAUUCCGCAUUCGACCUUCUAAACUUGUAUAGUAACCCUUCAAUUUGGUUUUUUUUUUUUCAAUUGAUAUUUUUUAUUUGAAUUAUUUUUUAGAAUUGAAUUUGUUUUUAAUUUUAUACUUUUUAAUUUUUUAAUCUAUUAGAUUUGAUUCUCAUUCUUUUGAUAACUAUUUAUUUUAUGUGAGAUUAUUUUUUAAUUUUUUUUGACGAUUUCAUCCUUCAUUUUUUAUUGUUAUGUUUUUUUACCUUGGCAAGUUUUUAAAAUUGAUAUAUAUAUUAUUUUUGAUUUCAUACUUUAAUAUUGAAUUAAGUUUUUUGGUUGAGUUUGGAUUUAGGAUUUAACGGAUUAAGAAUUUGGGACAUGUUUAGGAGAUUUGUCUAGGUUUUUUUUUUUUAAGCUCAUAUUUUUUUUCCAGUUUCAUCAUUCAAUAUUUAAUUUAAUUAGAGACUAGGCUCUAUUAAUUUUUUUUAUUUUCUUUCUAUAAGAUUUUUAAAUAAUUUUAAAAAUAAUCAGGGUUAUCUUAAGUCUUUUUAUUUCUUGCUAUUUUUUUUAAAAAAAUUUAAUUGAAUAAUUUUUUUUAUGUUUAGCUUUUAAUAUUUGGUUGAUUGAAAUUGGAAUCUAUUUUAUUUUGAUAUGGGUUCCAUGGAGUUUUCAUGGAUUUGUGCUUCGAAUCGUGAGUUUCACAAGUUAACCAUAGUUAUUCCAGUUCGAUCUAGUGUGUUGUCAUCACAAUUAUAUUUUUAAAUAAAUAUAUCAUCAAAUAUAUUAUUAUCUUAAUAUUUUAAAAGUGUUUUUCUAGCAUGUAUUGAAUUUUUUACUUUCAAAUACUAUUAUAUUUUUUAAAGGUUAGAAAAAAUAAUCAACCCUUGAGGCCAAAAAUCUAGUUAAAGAACUACACAUUAAAGUGAAGUUUUCAACAAGUGGCAACUUAUAAUUAGUAUUUAAGGUAUGACAUAUAAGCUACAUGAUUUUUUUCCCAUGAAAAAAAUCAUUUCUCAAAAUACUAUAGGUGGGAAAAAACUUUUCAAACUAGCACGGUUUCAUCAAUUGCAUAGGUCUCACUUAUGCAACUUCACACAUGCAGGUCUCGCAUGUUAAAAAAAUCUUCUUCUUUUCUUUGUUGGGUUGGUGACACGACCAAAAAAUUAAUGUCUUCUCCCAAAUGCAGGAGUGUCGAAAUAAUAAAUAACCCGGCAAGACCAGGAUCGAACCACACAGAGGUUAAUUAUACAAAUUAUAAAUAACAAUAAUACAACAACAACAAUAACAACAACAACAAUAAGAGUAAUAAUAACAACAAUAACAAUAAUAAUAACAAUAAUAAUAACAACAAUUAACAAUAAUAAUAACAAUAAUAAUAGCAAUAAUAAUAAUAAUAAUAAUAAUAAUAGUAAUAGUAAUACUUAGUAUGUGGCGUUGUUACACUUGAGAAUGAUCUAAAAGAUCGGGUCACAGGUUUUCAGCCUAUAUACUGAGUUUAUGAAAAGAUCAAAGAGAUAUAUUAUAUAAUAUAAACAGAAUGUAAAUAAUAAUAGUAAUAGUAAUAGUAAUAGUAAAAAAAUUAUAGCAGCUUGUUCAUAUUAGUACCCCAAAUAGAUUUUAAACUAAAAUAUCAUAAAGGUGAAAACAAAAAGAUUACUGUUACCUGAAAAAAAUGAAGUCAAAUGAAGGUAUACAGUCACUGUCGUUGACCUCAUUAUCAAUUCAUUGAGAAUCCCAAAACUAUAGAGAUGAACAAUUUAUUUUUUUCUAACCAACUGUAAAUCAAAGUGCGUAUGUGAAUUGAACAAAUAAAUCAAAGGACCAAAACAGCCCUAAAAAACAACCUUACUUUCCAACAAACCAAAGACAAAACCUCCAGUGUUUUACCAGUUACGGUGAUUUCACUAUAUAUUUUAGCUUUUUGUUAAUUAAUAUAUUUUAUGUGAAAAAAAUAAUAUAAAUAUUUAAAACAAAGCUAUUUUCUAACUUUUAGACUAAAUGUAUUGUUUUAAACAAUUAUAAUUUAUACAUUGAAGGGUCUUUUCGAUCCUAUUAGACCAACAAAAUUAUAUAAAUAUUUAAAACAAAGCUAUUAAUAUGAUAUUUAUUAUAGAUUAUAUUUUAUUAUGCCUUUCAUUGUUAAAUUUUGUCAUCCAAAUUAUAAUUUAAAGUCAUUGGAGCAUAGCUAUUUGAAUAGCUAAAAUACUAUUUUUUUCUACUAAAAUACUAUUUUUACAUCUCUAUGUAGAAAAAAAACCAAAUGCAAGGAGAAAGUAUAUAUACAGUUGGCAUUUGUUUUUCUCUUUAAAAACAGAACAAGAAGAAGAAAGAAGCCUGCAAACCUCAAUUGUGAUGUGUGGGGCCAACCCCUGCUCUUGACAGGAAGGUGCCUCUGCUCCCAAUGCGCGUUCGAUAUCCCUUUCGUUUCUCUUUUUGCUUUUUCUCCACCGAAACUCCAUCUUCUUUACAGUGUAAGAAAAAGAUCCGUAAGAAAAUCCAGGGCUUUGGAGGUUGGUUACUAAGAUACCAGACGAAUAAACAAACUAAAGACGAAACCUACAAUUGUUACUAGGUAUAGUGAUUUCACUGCAUGUUUUAGCUUUUUGUUAAUUAAUAUAUUAUAUGUGGAAAAAUAAUAUAAAUAUUUAAGACAAAGCUAUUUUCCGACUUUUACACUAAGUAUAUUGUUUUAAACAACAAUAAUUUAUACAUUAAAGGGUCUUUUCGAUCCUACUAGACCAACAAAAUUAUAUAAAUAUGUAAAACAAAGCUAUUAAUAUGAUAUUUAUUAUGGAUUUUAUUUUAUUAUACCUUUCAUUGUUAAAUUUUGUCACCCAGUUUAUAAUUUGAAGUCAUUGGAGCAUAGUUAUUUGAAUAGCUAAAAUACAUUUUCUUUUACUAAAUUCUAUUUUUACAUAUCCACGUAGAAAAGCCAAAACCAAAAAAAAUUAUAUACUCGUUGGCCAACAUAUUUUUAUCUAUAAUUAGCAUUUAUUUUUCUCUUUAAAAACAGAAUAAGAAAAAAAUAGAAGCCUAGAAAUCUCAAAGCCUAAAAAAUUUAAUAGUAUUAUAUAAAACUGAAAAAUAAAAAUAUUCAUAUAAAUAAAUUUUGAUUUUAAAAGUUUAAAAUUUAAAAUUCAAAUUAUAUCUUUUAACUUUGAUAUUACUUCAUUAAUUUUAUAAAUUACUCAUAUUAAUUAAUUGUAUAAUUAAUAACAUGAUUGUAUUAUAUAAAAAAUAAUUAAACUAGUUAUAUAAUUAUAUUAAAAUAAGUUUUCCAUGAUUGUAGUAAAUUAAGAGAUCUCAGUUAAAUAAUUUUAAUAAUCUACUCUGUCAGUACAAGAAACGUAAAAAAUAGUAGUUUUGCAUGAACAUUAAUUAAUUAAUUUAUAAUAAUAAAAGAAACAUUUAAUUGAUUAAAUUAGUAAAUUCAAACAUUUAUUUUGACAAUAUUUGAAUAUAUUCAUAUCAAAACCCCUAAAUUAUCAUAAACCUAAUAUUUUUAAUAACUAAUUAUAAAAAAAUAAAAGUAAAAUUAAACAAUAAAAUAAUUAGAAAAGACAAAAGAAAUUUACCUAAAAUAUAAUGCAAAAAAAAUUACUUGCUUAUUGGACUUGAAGAGAAAUUUAUAUAAGAGAAAGAGGCAAAUAACAAUGUUCAAAAGAAAAUGUGACUUUUUAUUUAUAAAAAUAAAUUUGGGUCAUAUAUAUAUAUAUAUAUAAGUCAACCAUAACUUUUCACUUACCCUCACCAAAACUAUUAUAUUAAUUUCCUAAUAUAAAAAAAUAUUAAACAAAAAUUAAGGAGGCAUUUGCCCUUUUUAUCCUCACCUGGCUCCGCCAUUAUGUCUAAAACUUUAAUCUCUUAUCUAUGCUUCUUCACAACCUAUUAAAAAAGGUUCAAGAUUAGCCAUUUCGAAUGAGAAAAAAAGAAACAAUCAUAAAUAACGAAUCGAAGAUGGAAGAAUAAAUUACUGUAUUUGGACGCAACGAAACCGAAAAAAAACAAAGGUAAAGUCUAGACAAGAGCGCGCGCAUAAACUAUUUAUUGAUGAGAUUGUUUGUAUCAACAUAAAUAAAUAUCAAAGUAAUCCAAGCAAACUUUUGCAGAUUACGAAGAAUCUAAGUCCGACAAAAAAGCUUUCAAUCAAAGUGUAUAUUUGAUAUAGAUUCAGUUUAGUAAUAAUUGUUUUUUAAUAUUUUAUUUUUAUUUUUUAAAAUUUAUUUUUAACAUCAAAAGCAUAUAAAAACAUUAUAAAAGAUUAAAAAAUUACAGUAAACCAUACAACUUUUUGAAAGAUUUUAUACACGAAACCCUUGCUUAAUGACCGUGUAAAAUUAAUACACUUGGACAGUACUUUUGCUACAGUUUUUUGGAUAGUUCAAACUCAUUUAAAGUAUUUUUAGUUGGAUGUUCAUAUAGGUGAAAACAAAAGGAUUUAUACUUAGAAAAAUGGAGACAUGAAACUUACGUUUAUACUUAGAUCUUUAAAGUUCACCCGUGGAGGGUCCAGUUUUAAAAUGGUGUUCGCGACGAGAGUGGCUUCUAGGUAGGUUUGGCUUAUGACUGUUCUCAUAACUUUUUUUCUACAAGUCAUUCUACUAUGCUCCUUGAGUAAACUGGAGUAGUCUAAAUGCACUCAGUGGUGCGUACAAUGUAAUUAGUUAUUGUGUCACCUGUUAAGACAAAGGUCGAAGCUAUUUUUAUGUGGCUAGAAUAACUUUAAUGAGCAAUUUCAUGUAGUGAUCGAUUUUGUUGAAGGAGAUGGUGCUCCUGUAGUGGGGAGAUCGUUACCUCUCCAUUGUCUUGUCAUUUAUAAGUUAUCAUCAAUGAAAAGAACUAGGAAAGAAAAGGAACUUAACUAGCUUUUGUUCAAGUUCCAACAGAAGGUGUCAUUGACGAAGUUGGAAAAACUUCAAAUUAAACCUAGAUCUUUCCAUGACUGGUGUAAUGAAUUUUGAAAAUUUUUAAGUUGGGUUAGGCUUGUGGUUCAUGAAUUCCUACAAAAACAAGUUUUUCAUGUGACAGAGAACUCAACUCUCUGAUAACUAAGUUAACAACCACACAUGAGAAAACAAAUGUAUAAGAACUUAAAAGAGUGUAUUAUGUGAUUGUUCAUGAGUGUGAUUUUGAAUUGUUGUUUGUGUGUUUAUUACUUGAUAAUCUUAGAUAUUAAUACGUAUCAUGUCUCAAGAAAUUAGCUCGUAAAAAGUGGAAUAAUAAAUAUAUUAUGCUGUUAAGUCAGGUCUAAAAAUAUUCGCUCUCUUUUCUAUGAGGCCUUUGGCCCCAUCAUGUAUGGAGAAAGAUAUAUUUGAAAAUGAAGCCAGGAUACAGUGUAUCUACAUAUAUAUUCUUUGAAUGAAAAAUUGAGCUGUGUUCCAUUAGGAGUUGAAACCACCUAACUUGGCUUAGAUGUAACAAUGAAUGAUUAUAGAAAAAUCUAACCAUAAAUUUCAUUAAUCGUCUUUAAUGUGAUGAAUGUUCUUUGUAGCAGACGUGAAGUGAUUUGAAAAAUAUAAAUAUUGAGUUUUAGAAACAUACAUCUCGUGAAAAUAAUUAUAUAAACACUUAUUGCACUAACCAAUAGCUAGCAGUUCAUACAUUAAAAGAAAACACAUGACCUUUCUAAAGUUUAGAGUGAAAAUGUACUUUUGUCCCUUUUUCUUUAUAUAUUUUUACUUUUGUUCCUAUAGUUUUAGCAUUUUAAGUUUUGAUUCCAAAUUAUAUUUCAAUAUUCCGUAUGUUUGAAAGAGAAGAAAGAAAGUCACUCAAUAUUAGGUGAGGAGAGAGAAAAGGAUAGAUUGGCCACAAUUCAACAAUAAAAAAAAAUAUUUAUUUUAAAGAAAGUUCAAAAAUUAAAAAAUGUUAUAUCUAUUUUAAUUAAUAAUAAAAUAAAAGAAUAUAAUAUAAGUCAUAUGAUUAAGUUGAAUUGAUUAGUGUCCAUGAACAACCAAUCCAUGAUCGUAAAAUUUAGAUCAAAGCCUAUAUGUUUUUUGCUUCGAAACUUUAACUUCAAUUUAAAACCAUUUAAAGUGGAUUAGAAUAGAUUUUGAAGUUGAAAAUGGGUAUAUAAAAACUAUUUGGAUGGGUUUGAGGUUUUUAUACUAAAAAUUAGAAGUGAUUAUUUUCAAUUUGAUUAAUUUUUACCUAUAAAAAUUACCAAGUCAAAAUUUUGGACGGUAGCUCUCGAUUUUCUAGCUAAUGAUUUUGAAGUUGAAAAAUGAUUGAAAAUGGCAUUUUGCAUGCCCAUGAACGGUGGCUCUCUAUUUUCUAUCUAUCAAAGCAUCGCUAAAACAUCGAUUUUUUUUUUAUUAUGUUUUAUAUGAAGUUUAUUAUAUUUUAUUUAUGAUUUAGAUUUUUAUUAGUUUCUAAAAAUGAUCUCUAUGUUUAUUUUAUGUUAAUUUAUUAUAUUAUUUAUUAUAUAUUUUUUUUAAAACACCUCAAAAACAUUAUAGAUGGUUUCCCUGCCACAACCAACAACUUUUUUCAGGAAAAGCUACAAGUGCCUAGAACUUUAACCCCUUCUCUAUGCUUCUUGACAACCUUGUUGUAACCCAUUUUUGGGCCCCCAUAAAAAAUAAAAUAAAUAGCCAAAAGAAUUUAGAAAAAAUAACAGGAGGCAGAAGCGCUCAGGAAACAGUCAGAAAAUUAGUCAAGGAAUUUAAAAAUACAAGGAUUGAAUUUUUGACAGUAUAUUCUUGAAGGAUGAAAGCCCUAUUGAGAAGGAAAAUUUGAAUUUUGAGGAGAAAAGCCCAAAUUUGGAUGUUUAGGGACUUAAUUGGAUUUUUAUUUGAAUUUAUAGAGGAUUUGAUUGCAAGAAAAAUUGAUUUUUAAGUCAAUUUGGGCUUUAAUUAGAAGAAAUUUAAGUUCUGGGGCCAAAAUAUAUUUUUUAGGAAUUUAUUGGGUCAAAUCAGGGGCUUAAUUGCAUAAAUAUUGAAGUUUAAUGGUCAAUUAGGGGUUUAAUUGUGAAAAACCGAAACCAGGGACCAAUUUGGAAAAAUCGGGUAAAUAGAGGGGGCUGUUUUGCUUUGGAUCAGGGGCCUAAUUGAAGAAAUUGGAAGUUUAUUGAUCAAUUAGGGGUUUAAUUGUGAAAAUCAGAGGCCAAGGACCAAAGUGAAAAACGCGGCCAACUAUAGGGGUAGGGACCGAAUUUGGCAGGGACGCAAUUGAAUUUUAUUCUUAAAAUUGGAAGUCGUUGCGCAUGCACCAUUUCCUUGCAUUUCACUGUUCAAAGUGAAAUAUAAUUCACUUGAACAGUGAAAUGCUAAUUCACUGUUCACAUCAAAUAUAAUUCACGUGAACAGUGAAAUGCUAAUUCGCUGUGCAUAUCAAAUAUAUUCACUGUUCACAUGAGGCCCGCCUGGACAACCGCUCCCCGACAGCCGCUCCCCAACCCGCUCCUUGGCUCCACGGUGAAGCCACGCCCACUGGCUCUAUAAAUAGCGCCCAACCCAGCACACCGAAGAGAAAAAGGAAGACCCGAAGAGAGAGGGAGAAGAGAAAUAAGGCACGAAAGAGAGAGAAGAACAGAAACAAACCGAGAGGAGGACCCGAAAACAAAAAAAGAAAACGGACAGAGAGGGGGAUUUUUUUGGACGAGAGAGGGCUUUUGGAAACUGAAUGAUACUGUGAGAGUAUAGAAAAGAGAGAAACCAAAACAAAGGAAGGGAAGUGAAGUUUUUGAGCAGAGACAGAGGAGAGGGCCAAAAACAGAAGAGAAGGAGCCGUUGCAGAGGAACAGUUGCUGUCACCAGGCUCCCCAGCCACCGACCACCAUCCAGGCCACUUCCCAGACCGCCACCACCAGCAUCUCCACCAAGCUGCUGCAGGGAUAGGAGAGCUUGGUUGACAGAAGGAGCAAAGGCAACCAAAGAGAAGAAGACAAAGAAGCUUGAAAGAAAAGCAGAGAAGAACACAGAAGCAGCAGAGAAGAGGAAGAGCCAACCUUCGGUCAGCAACCGCCACCAGCACCACUGUCAGCUCCUCUACCCAAGCUCACCCUCGCAGGUAACUCUUCCCCUUUAUCCCGUAUUCGUCUUCUUGCAGGUCUAAUUAAUUAACUGGUUACUGUGCUCAUGUACAGUACCCGGUUACUAUUUGUGUAUAAUACCCCCGUUAGUAUUUGUGAACAGCAACAUACUGCACUCAUGUACAGUACCGAUUCAUGUUGUUUUGGGCUGGAAUAUCAGCCCAACCCAUGUGGCUGGACUGAGUCCAGCCCUGUAGAAGGUAGGCUCAUUUUAUUUCGGGCCGAUUUUGGCCCAGUCUCCUUUUGGGCCGGAUCCGGUCUAGUAAAAAAUUUAAAUUCCAAAAAAAUUAUUUCAAAAAAAUAUGCAUUUUCCCACAAGUUUGUUGCUACAUUUUGGUCAAUAUCGGUUUGUAGUUUUAUACUGUAAAGAUACAAAUCCGGUAUUAAAAUACCCGGUUUUCUACAAAACAUCAAAGAUUUUCAAAAUAAAAAAAUGUUUUUGCUUUCAAAAAAAAAUUCUAAAAGUCCUUAAAAAUAUUGUUGAUUUUUUCUGCAUAUUUUUAUGGAUUAAUAUUGGGUUGUAUUUUUAUACCGUAAGAAUACAAACUCAGUAUUAAAAUACCCGAUUUUCGUUAAAGCAUAAAAAAGAAUUGUUUUUGUUUUAAAAUACGGCCUAGUCUCUCCAAUAUAUAUAUAUAAAUAUUAUAACAUCAUAUUUUCACACAACAAAGAAAAUUUUCAAAACAAUAUAUGUAUUAGCAUGCAUUUUGGCUUUAAUAACCAGUUUAUUUAAGCCAUGAGAACUAGGCCAAUAUUUCAAAAAUUCUAAAAAAUCUUUUUGUUUUCUUUUAGUAUUUGGGAUUACGAAUUUAUACGUAAAACGUAUUCUUAAAUAUUAUUAAUAAAGUUUUGGGUAUAGACGUUAGAACGGUUAGGAUUUUACCCAAUAAGAUAAAGACCUUCUUACCGAGGAGGAUUUUUCUUGAACCAUAGACAGACCAACAACUAGGAAAACAUGAAAAUACCUUAGAUUUUAUCAGACAAUAAAACAAUGCAGCUUACCUUAGGUAGGGCGUAUUUAGGGUGCUAAUACCUUCCCUUUACGCAACCAGUCCCCGUACCCGAUCUCUAAGACCAGUUAGGGUUCCUAGUGACCAAAAUAUUAGGUGGCGACUCCAAAGAACCAAAUCAAAUAAAAAAAAUUCGUCAGUCGAACCCGCAAAUUGGAAUUUUUUCGGGGUGCGACAAACCUAUUAAAAAAGGUUCAAGAUUAGCCAUUUCGAAUGAGAAAAAAAGAAACAAUCAUAAAUAACAAAUCGAAGAUGGAAGAAUAAAUUACCGUAUUUGGACGCAACGAAACCGAAAAAAAACUAAGGUAAAGUCUAGACAAGAGCGCGCGCAUAAACUAUUUAUUGAUGAGCUUGUUUGUGUCAACAUAAAAAAAUAUCAAAGUAAUCCAGGCAAACUUUUGCAGAUUACGAAGAAUCUAAAUCGGAUAAAAAAGCUUUCAAUCAAAGUGUAUAUUUGAUAUAGAUUCAGUUUAGUAAUAAUUGUUUUUUAAUAUUUUAUUUUUAUUUUUCAAAAUUUAUUUUUAACAUCAAAAGCAUAUAAAAACAUUAUAAAAGAUUGAAAAAUUACAGUAAACCAUAUAACUUUUUGAAAGAUUUUAUACACGAAACCCUUGCUUAAUGACCGUGUAAAAUUAAUACACUUGGAAAGUACUUUUGCUACAGUUUUUUGGAUAGUUCAAACUCAUUUAAAGUAUUUUUAGUUGGAUGUUCAUAGAGGUGAAAACAAAAGGAUUACUGUUACCUAACCUGAAGUGGAAUGAAGGUUGACAAAGUCAAAGACAGCGAUCAAACACUCAUAAAUGCAAUGAAUCAGCUUUUUUUGGACUUUCCACAGAUACACCUGUUUUCCACCACGUUUGUUUUGGGACCCCUUAUAUCUGAAAAUGUCUUCAACACGCAAUAGCUAUUGAAUCCCACAAAGCAUAUUCUCCUUCUCCUUCAUUUUUUAAUAUUUUGAUCUCCAUAUCAAUUCAGCAUUACAUAAGACUUUUUUUGAAUAAGGGGCUAUUCACACAAAAGAAUAAAAAGCCAUAAACAAAUCUACAGCAGACAUCCAUCAAUGCAAGAAAUGCCCAUUUUCAAGAACUCUAAGCAACUCCUGAAUCAUUGUAAGAAGCAUAAUAGUACUGUCCGGUUGUUCGAAUAGUUAAAAUACAGUUUCUUCUACUAAAAUACUAUUUUUACAUAUCUACAUACAAAAGCCAACGUCUCUUUAUCUAUGGUUGGCUUUUGUGGCACCGUUUGGCAUUGCGUUCCAAAUGGUGUUUUGUCCAAAUUUGAAUUUUUUUUUUUUACUAAAAUUGAGUGACGUUUGUACUUUUUGGAUCGUUUUGAUAUGCUGAUGUCAAAAAUGAUUUUUAAAAAAUAAAAAAAACAUCAUUUACAUGUAUUUCGGCACGAAAAGCUAUUUGAAAUGCAACCGCUACCACACCGCCAAACACGCUCCGUUGUUGCAACGAUGACAGAGGAGCUGGUUCAUUGGUUAAGGUUUUUGACAAGGUGAGGGCGAUCAAGAAUUGAGUUUUUUGUAUUGAUAGAAAUGCAGAAAAACUCCAAUCUUUAAAGACAAAAAUGGCAUCAUCAAGGGAAGUGUUAUUGAAAACUAUGGCGGCGGCAAAUUGUAUAUCUUAUUGCUUACCAGUUUUUAAUUAGAAACUUAUAAAUCUAUGGAAAAUUAGAAGGUGCACCGGAAAAGUUGGAAAUAUCUGUAAAAAUCAAAGCUUACGACGACAUAAAUUUUAAAGAAUUUGAUUAUUUCAAUUAGGCCUUUCUAUAAAAGUAGUGUUGGCACCUCAAGAAUAAUCCUACUGAUUUGUGUAGCAAAUGCUUAAAGAGAUUUGUAUCAAUAUUUCAAAAAGUUGGAUUGGAAAAGCGAUUUCAGAACAUUCAGAAAUUUGAAUUUUUUUUUAAAAAAUAAUUUUUUAUAUUUUUAAAUUAUUUUAACAUUCUUCUAUCAAAAUUAUUUUUUCAAAAAUUAAUAAAAAAUAUAUUUUAAUAUAUAUAAAAAAUUAUAAUUUAAACAAAUAACUGCUAUUAUAUAUCCAAGCGCCUUGAUAAAAGGUUUGAGAUGAGAAAUUGAGAAUGGGAGAAGAAUUGGUAUUUGGGAUCGGAGAGGAAUCAAAGUUGGGUUGUAUGUGAUAAAAAUAUUAAAGUUGGAGAUCCUAAACUCAAUUUAAUAUGAAUUUUUUUUUCGUUUUUCGUUAAUUAGUUCCAGUUCGAAGGGUGGUGGCUAAGUUUAUUUAAAAAGAAAAUCAAUGGGAAUUUAUAAUAUUUAAUGUAAGAGUUUUGUAGUUAUUAGUUUUAAAAUUCAUUAAAAAAUACUUUUCAACUGUGAUGUGUGUGGCCCAACCCCUGCUCUUGACAGGAAGGUGCCUCUGCUGCCCAAUGCGCGUUCGAUAACCCUUUCAUUUCUCUUUUUGCUUUUUCUCCACCGAAACUCCAUCUUCUUUACAGUGUAAACUUACCAGUACGAGUUCUUGACCUAAAGUAACCGGAAAAAUUAAAGGGCUUUGGAAGUUGGUUACUAAGAUACCAGAAGAAGAAGAAAUAUUGGGCUUGGCUGGAUCUUGUGCCUCUUUAGCCAACACUUACCACACGGUUUGUUUCGUCUAGAUUCGUGAAAUACUCGUAGAAAUUUGGUGUUUUCUGAUAUGUUCCAGCUUGAAAUUACUAAUUGGUAGAUUUAAUUGCCAAAUUUCUUGAUCUUACCUUCUGUUUCAUGUUUGACCACAGGAGCAGGCCUUACACGCGUGGAAAGCAAUUGCUGAACCAAGCUAGCUAGUUGAGGCCAGAAGGGAUCGGUACUAGUUUAUCGCUUUAGGGAUUUUCAUGGCUUCCAGCAGCGUGCAAGGAAUAAGCUCAUCUUCAUCUUCUCCUCCUCCACUAUAUAUGUAUGAUGUGUUCCUUAGUUUUAGAGGCAAAGACACCCGGAACAACUUUACUAGUCAUCUAUAUUCUAAUCUGAAACAGAGAGGCAUCGAUGUGUACAUGGAUGAUAGGGAGCUCGAGAGAGGAAAG